rnacentral:rRNA from 1 species
UUGAACGCUGGCGGCAGGCCUAACACAUGCAAGUCGAGCGGUAGCACAGAGAGCUUGCUCUCGGGUGACGAGCGGCGGACGGGUGAGUAAUGUCUGGGAAACUGCCUGAUGGAGGGGGAUAACUACUGGAAACGGUAGCUAAUACCGCAUAAUGUCGCAAGACCAAAGUGGGGGACCUUCGGGCCUCAUGCCAUCAGAUGUGCCCAGAUGGGAUUAGCUAGUAGGUGGGGUAACGGCUCACCUAGGCGACGAUCCCUAGCUGGUCUGAGAGGAUGACCAGCCACACUGGAACUGAGACACGGUCCAGACUCCUACGGGAGGCAGCAGUGGGGAAUAUUGCACAAUGGGCGCAAGCCUGAUGCAGCCAUGCCGCGUGUGUGAAGAAGGCCUUCGGGUUGUAAAGCACUUUCAGCGGGGAGGAAGGCGGUGAGGUUAAUAACCUCAUCGAUUGACGUUACCCGCAGAAGAAGCACCGGCUAACUCCGUGCCAGCAGCCGCGGUAAUACGGAGGGUGCAAGCGUUAAUCGGAAUUACUGGGCGUAAAGCGCACGCAGGCGGUCUGUCAAGUCGGAUGUGAAAUCCCCGGGCUCAACCUGGGAACUGCAUUCGAAACUGGCAGGCUAGAGUCUUGUAGAGGGGGGUAGAAUUCCAGGUGUAGCGGUGAAAUGCGUAGAGAUCUGGAGGAAUACCGGUGGCGAAGGCGGCCCCCUGGACAAAGACUGACGCUCAGGUGCGAAAGCGUGGGGAGCAAACAGGAUUAGAUACCCUGGUAGUCCACGCCGUAAACGAUGUCGAUUUGGAGGUUGUGCCCUUGAGGCGUGGCUUCCGGAGCUAACGCGUUAAAUCGACCGCCUGGGGAGUACGGCCGCAAGGUUAAAACUCAAAUGAAUUGACGGGGGCCCGCACAAGCGGUGGAGCAUGUGGUUUAAUUCGAUGCAACGCGAAGAACCUUACCUGGUCUUGACAUCCACAGAACUUUCCAGAGAUGGAUUGGUGCCUUCGGGAACUGUGAGACAGGUGCUGCAUGGCUGUCGUCAGCUCGUGUUGUGAAAUGUUGGGUUUAGUCCCGCAACGAGCGCAACCCUUAUCCUUUGUUGCCAGCGGUUAGGCCGGGAACUCAAAGGAGACUGCCAGUGAUAAACUGGAGGAAGGUGGGGAUGACGUCAAGUCAUCAUGGCCCUUACGACCAGGGCUACACACGUGCUACAAUGGCAUAUACAAAGAGAAGCGACCUCGCGAGAGCAAGCGGACCUCAUAAAGUAUGUCGUAGUCCGGAUUGGAGUCUGCAACUCGACUCCAUGAAGUCGGAAUCGCUAGUAAUCGUAGAUCAGAAUGCUACGGUGAAUACGUUCCCGGGCCUUGUACACACCGCCCGUCACACCAUGGGAGUGGGUUGCAAAAGAAGUAGGUAGCUUAACCUUCGGGAGGGCGCUUACCACUUUGUGAUUCAUGACUGGGGUG